CCUACGGGAGGCAGCAGUAAGGAAUAUUGGUCAAUGGAGGCAACUCUGAACCAGCCAUGCCGCGUGCAGGAAGACGGCCCUAUGGGUUGUAAACUGCUUUUAUCUGGGAAUAAACCUAUUUACGUGUAAGUAGCUGAAUGUACCAGAAGAAUAAGGAUCGGCUAACUCCGUGCCAGCAGCCGCGGUAAUACGGAGGAUCCAAGCGUUAUCCGGAUUUAUUGGGUUUAAAGGGUGCGUAGGCGGCAGUUUAAGUCAGAGGUGAAAGACGGUAGCUCAACUAUCGCAGUGCCUUUGAUACUGAAUUGCUUGAAUGAACUAGAGGUAGGCGGAAUGAGACAAGUAGCGGUGAAAUGCAUAGAUAUGUCUCAGAACACCGAUUGCGAAGGCAGCUUACUAUGGUUUUAUUGACGCUGAGGCACGAAAGCGUGGGGAUCAAACAGGAUUAGAUACCCUGGUAGUCCACGCCCUAAACGAUGAAUACUCGCUGUUAGCGAUAUACUAGUAGUCGGCGUAGACGAAGACGUUAAGUUAGUUCCUACCGUCGGGUAAGGUACGUCGUUCGCGAGAGUUAGUAACGUUAAAGGUUAAGUUAGUACGGCGUUGAGACGUUGCCGACGGACGACGACGAGGGAGGAGG
rnacentral:rRNA from 1 species